AGGACGAACGCUGGCGGCGCGCCUAAAUACAUGCAAGUCGAGCGAGAAACUCGGGGCUUGCCCCGGGUGGACAGCGGCGAACGGGUGAGGAACACGUGAGAAACCUGCCCCGAAGACCGGGAUAACACCGGGAAACCGGUGCUAAUACCGGAUGCCCUCACCGGAUCGCAUGAUCCGGCGAGGAAAUGGAUUCCGCUUCGGGAUGGUCUCGCGGCCUAUCAGCUUGGUUGGGGGGUGACGGCCCACCAAGGCGACGACGGGUA
rnacentral:rRNA from 1 species